GCCCUGACUCAUGCAGUUGCACUUAAAAAGCAAUUGAAAGGCACUGGUUUCUUGCCUUGUGGCCUACGAGAUAAGUAUUGAUUCCCUUUUAUUUUAGGUCUCUUUCUUCCCGGAUCAAGAUUGAAAUUAGUUUCUGGAAGGAAGGCUUGGCUUUAUUGAAGAUCCUUCUGUUUUACGAUGAAGACAGAUCAGUGAAGUUCAAGGACAGGACCUUGGCUUGCAGAGGUGGGGGCUGCACCUUGGUAAUUUUGGGGAUUAUGUACUGAAACUAACAUCCAUCAGACAUCUGUGGGCUGAGUCACCAUCAGAGAAAGUUCCUCCAAAGCUCAGGAAGAAAAAACCCUACAGGGGGAUGUCCAGGAGUGGGUGGAGAGGACAAUAUGUUUGAGCAGCAAAGAAAACCCAUUUUUGGGUUUUCUUUUGGAGGUAAAAAUUGAUCUCAGACCAGAGCAUCCAUGAUGCUAAGCAUAACAUCCACUUGCUUCACAACCAAUACUAGCACUGAGGAAAAGCAGGAU
rnacentral:lncRNA from 1 species